rnacentral:rRNA from 1 species
GAUGAACGCUAGCGGGAGGCCUAACACAUGCAAGCCAAGCGGUAUUGUUUCUUCGGCAAUGAGAGAGCGGCGUACGGGUGCGUAACACGUGUGCAACCUGCCUUUAUCUGGGGGAUAGCCUUUCGAAAGGAAGAUUAAUACUCCAUAAUAUAUUGAACGGCAUCGUUUAAUAUUGAAAGCUCCGGCGGAUAGAGAUGGGCACGCGCAAGAUUAGCUGGUUGGUGAGGUAACGGCUCACCAAGGCGAUGAUCUUUAGGGGGCCUGAGAGGGUGAUCCCCCACACUGGUACUGAGACACGGACCAGACUCCUACGGGAGGCAGCAAUGAGGAAUAUUGGUCAAUGGGUGCAAGCCUGAACCAGCCAUCCCGCGUGAAGGACGACUGCCCUAUGGGUUGUAAACUUCUUUUGUAUAGGGAUAAACCUACCCUCGAGAGGGUAGCUGAAGGUACUAUACGAAUAAGCACCGGCUAACUCCGU